rnacentral:rRNA from 1 species
AGGGCGUACGGCGAAUGCCUUGCCACUCGAAACUGAAGAAGGACGCGCCAAACUGCGAAAAGCUCCGUGAAGCUGUAAGGAAGCGAAGAAGCGGAGGUGUCCGAAUGGGGGAACCCGGCAGCAGACAUGAGCUGUCAUCUGCAGGUGAAUACAUGGCCUGCAAGAGAGGUACCCGGCGAACUGAAACAUCUAAGUAGCCGGAGGAAAAGAAAACAACAGUGAUUCCCUGAGUAGCGGCGAGCGAAAGGGGAGAAGCCCAAACCGGUCCGAGGGCCGGGGUUGAAGGACCAUGAUAUGGCAAGAACGAGGAUAGGAGAACGGGAUCGAAAGCCCGGCCGAAGAAGGUGAAAGCCCUGUAACCGAAAUCCAAGGGAAGCCUAAUGGGAUCCUGAGUACGGCGAGACACGAGAAAUCUUGUCGGAAGCAGGCGGGACCAUCCGCCAAGGCUAAAUAUAAACGAGUGAGCGAUAGUGAACCAGUACCGUGAGGGAAAGGUGAAAAGAACCGCGGGAGCGGAGUGAAAGAGAACCUGAAACCGUAUGCCUACAAGAAGUCAGAGCCCGUUAAGGGGUGAUGGCGUGCCUUUUGUAGAAUGAACCGGCGAGUUGCGACAGACUGCGAGGUUAAGGAGGAAAGACCGGAGCCGAAGCGAAAGCGAGUCUUAAUAGGGCGAAAGUAGGAUGUUGCAGACCCGAAACCGGGUGAUCUAGCCAUGAGCAGGUUGAAGUUGAGGUGAAACUCAAUGGAGGACCGAACCGACUACCGUUGAAAAGUUAGCGGAUGACUUGUGGCUAGGGGAGAAAUUCCAAUCGAACCCGGAGAUAGCUGGUUCUCCCCGAAAUAGCUUUAGGGCUAGCGUCGGAAAGAACCUUAGUGAAGGUAGAGCACUGAAUGUGUGAUGGCCCCAUCCCGGGGUACUGAAUACAAUCAAACUGCGAAUGUCAUUAAGGAUGUCCGGCAGUCAGACUGUGAGUGAUAAGGUCCAUGGUCAAGAGGGAAACAGCCCAGACCGCCAGUUAAGGUCCCAAAAUACAGGCUAAGUGGAAAAGGAUGUGGGGAUGCCCAGACAACUAGGAGGUUGGCUCAGAAGCAGCCAUCCUUUAAAGAGUGCGUAACAGCUCACUAGUCGAAUGACUCUGCGCCGAUAAUUUACCGGGGCUAAGCAUACUACCGAAGCUAUGGAUCCCAAGGGAUGGUAGGGGAGCGUUCCAUGAACGGAGAAGUACGACCGAAAGGACGUGUGGAGAUCAUGGAAGAGAGAAUGCCGGUGUGAGUAGCGGAACGUGGGUGAGAAUCCCACGCACCGAAAACCCAAGGUUUCCAGAGGAAGGUUCGUCCGCUCUGGGUAAGUCGGGACCUAAGGCGAGGCCGAAAGGCGUAGUCGAUGGACAACAGGUAGAGAUUCCUGUACCCGUAUAUAUGUGAAGGAAUGACGGAGAGAGGAAGCUGCAGCCAGCGGCUGGAAGAGCUGGUGCAAGCGAGAUAUCGGGAUGGCAGGCAAAUCCACCAUCCGAAACGAGAAGGCGUGAAGCGUACGGAAAGCUACGGCGAGUACGGAAGGCAGUGGAGGAACUUCCAAGAAAAGUUUCUAACGUUAAGUAUAUAUGGCCCGUACCGAAAAUGGACACACAUGGGUGAGGAGAGAAUCCUAAGGUGAGCGAGAGAACUAUAGCUAAGGAACUCUGCAAAAUGACUCCGUAACUUAGGGAGAAGGAGUGCUCAUAGAGAUAUGAGCCGCAGUGAAACGGCCCAAGCGACUGUUUACCAAAAACACAGCUCUCUGCUAAGCCGCAAGGCGAAGUAUAGGGGGUGACGCCUGCCCGGUGCUGGAAGGUUAAGGGGAGGGGUUAACGCAAGUGAAGCCCUGAACUGAAGCCCCAGUAAACGGCGGCCGUAACUAUAACGGUCCUAAGGUAGCGAAAUUCCUUGUCAGGUAAGUUCUGACCCGCACGAAAGGCGUAAUGAUUUGGGCACUGUCUCGACAAUGUACCCGGCGAAAUUGUAGUACUAGUGAAGAUGCUAGUUACCUGCGACAAGACAGAAAGACCCCAUGGAGCUUUACUGCAGCUUGAUACUGGGUUUUGGUAAUUUAUGUACAGGAUAGGUGGGAUACGAAGAAGCAAGUGCGCCAGCAUUUGUGGAGUAGACGUUGGGAUACCACUCUUAAAUUAUUGAAAUUCUAACCUGUGAUCAUGAACUGGUCAGGGGACAAUGUCAGGCGGGCAGUUUGACUGGGGCGGUCGCCUCCUAAAGAGUAACGGAGGCGCCCAAAGGUUUCCUCAGCACGGACAGAAAUCGUGCAAAAGAGUGUAAAGGCAGAAGGAAGCUUAACUGGGAGACUGACAAGUCGAGCAGAUACGAAAGUAGGGCUUAGUGAUCCGGCGGUAGUGAGUGGAAAUGCCGUCGCUCAACGGACAAAAGUUACCCUGGGGAUAACAGGCUUAUCUCCCCCAAGAGUUCACAUCGACGGGGAGGUUUGGCACCUCGAUGUCGGCUCAUCGCAUCCUGGAGCUGAAGUCGGUUCCAAGGGUUGGGCUGUUCGCCCAUUAAAGCGGUACGCGAGCUGGGUUCAGAACGUCGUGAGACAGUUCGGUCCUUAUCUGUCGCAGGCGUAGGAUAUUUGAAGGGAGCUGUCCUUAGUACGAGAGGACCAGGAUGGACAUACCGAUGGUGUAUCAGUUGUCACACCAGUGGCACGGCUGAGUAGCUAAGUAUGGAAGGGAUAAACGCUGAAAGCAUCUAAGUGUGAAGUCCACCUUAAGAUAAGAUAUCCCAUUGC